AGUGAACGCUGGCGGCAGGCCUAACACAUGCAAGUCGAGCGGGGUUUUCGGACCUAGCGGCGGACGGGUGAGUAAUGCGUAGGAAGCUGCCCGAUAGAGGGGGAUACCAGUUGGAAACGACUGUUAAUACCGCAUAAUGUCUACGGACCAAAGUGUGGGACCUUCGGGCCACAUGCUAUCGGAUGCGCCUACGUGGGAUUAGCUAGUUGGUGAGGUAAUGGCUCACCAAGGCGACGAUCUCUAGCUGGUCUGAGAGGAUGAUCAGCCACACUGGAACUGAGACACGGUCCAGACUCCUACGGGAGGCAGCAGUGGGGAAUAUUGGACAAUGGGCGCAAGCCUGAUCCAGCCAUGCCGCGUGUGUGAAGAAGGCCUUCGGGUUGUAAAGCACUUUCAGCGAGGAGGAAGGGGUGUGUGUUAAUAGUACACACCUUUGACGUUACUCGCAGAAGAAGCACCGGCUAACUCUGUGCCAGCAGCCGCCGCCG
rnacentral:rRNA from 1 species